UGGAUCAAUGAUAGAAGAAUGUUAGGAACCAAGGAUAAUCAGUAACCAAAUUCUGUGUACUUGAGGUGUAAA
rnacentral:snoRNA from 1 species